rnacentral:piRNA from 1 species
CCUGGAAAGGUUCUGAGAUGACUGUAUG